UCGGGGUGUGCGUCCGUGGAACGGAGCGGCGGAUGGUGAGUAUCGACGUGGGCAACCUGCCUGUAAGAUUGGGAUAACUCGCGGAAACGUGAGCUAAUACCGAAUGAAGUCUUUCGCCGCCUGGUGAAAGGAUGAAAGAUGGCUCUUGAGCUAUCACUUACAGAUGGGCCCGCGGCGCAUUAGCUAGUUGGUGGGGUAAAGGCCUACCAAGGCGACGAUGCGUAGCCGACCUGAGAGGGUGAUCGGCCACACUGGGACUGAGACACGGCCCAGACUCCUACGGGAGGCAGCAGUAGGGAAUCUUCCGCAAUGGACGAAGGUCUGACGGAGCAACGCCGCGUGAGUGAUGAAGGUCUUCGGAUCGUAAAACUCUGUUGUCAGGGAAGAACAAGUUGUGUUCUAACAGGACAUGACCUUGACGGUACCUGACCAGAAAGCCCCGGCUAACUACGUGCCAGCCGCUGC
rnacentral:rRNA from 1 species